AAAAAACCCUAAUUUUAUCAUUUACUCAAAUUCUUCUUUUUAUGGUUAAUUGCUUGUUUUUUUUGUUAAUUAAUGUAUUGCACUAGCACUAGCCGUAAUGGGAGUAUCUUUUUAUGGUUAGUUACUUGCUUUUGUUGCUUUUGAAGUAUCUUUUUUUUUUUCCAGAUUUUUUGGUCUGUUUUGGAUCAUUUUUUGACUGUUUUUGUUCAGAUUUUUGAUAGUUGUGUUUCUUUUUUUUGACAGUUUUCGUUUAGGUUUUGUUUAAGUUUUUUAAUCAAGUUUUUUAUUCAUGUUUUUGCUUAUUUUGGCAUGGAGACUUUUAGUUUGAGUAAUAGUAAAUUCGCAUUUGAAAUUGAGUAAGUUGCUAAUACAUAGGUGGUUAGUAUGUAGUUAUUAAUGGAAGUUAAAAAGAUUUUGGUUGGUUUGUAGGAAUUAGUUUCUUAUAGUCAUGUUCCAGCAUCUAUUGAAGUCAUUGCGUCCAGUGGCAGAAUUGGAGGAAGAAAAGAUUGGAAGGUGUCAUGACUAAGGAAUAUUCCAAGAAUUUAGUUGCAAGUGCAACAUUCUCUGUUGAAAAUUUUAACCAUAAAGGGAAGGGGAAGUUACGAAUGCAAAGUAAAUUAGGGGAAGUUAAGAAUGCAAAGUAAAUUAAGUACUACUGGAAGAAUUGUGAAGGUCAAUAGAGAUAGUCUAUUGGCUUUCAGUGCUGAUUUGCACCAGUCUUGAAUUAUUUGGCCUUUCAUCAUAAUAUAUAUUGUUGUGGCUGUUGAGAGAGGGAAAACUGUUUUUCCCAUUCUCGUAGUUUCUAUUUGAUAUACUUUAGUUAGAUGCUCUUGUGAAAAGGGAUUAUAUACUUGUAUGUAUCCAAUCGGAAAUCUAGCAAAGGUUUAUAGAAUUUUCAUAUUUUCAUAUCUGCUAACUAUCUCAUAUUGAUGGUAUUUAAUGGCUAAAUAUCUCAUGAUGAUAAGAAAUCAUCCACUUCCAUCCAUCAGCUCUCCUUUUUAUCACACCAGCAGCCACGAAAAAACAGAUCUGUCCAUUAUUUCCAAAAUUGAAUCCGGUAUCUUCAAGGCAAAUAUGCACCCAAUCCUUUCAUAAGUGAGUUGGAGAGGAAGUUCUGCAGCCUGCAAUGAGGUAAAGAAAAUUUCAAGGAUUGAUGCACAUGAUACGAGAUAAUUGUUCCUUGGUUCUCAGUAGCCUAGAGUCACCCUCUAUUACUGUAAAAUGGCUAUGUUUCAAUUAUAAUGUAGUUGAUUGUACAAAAAAAAAAAAAAAGAGAUAAAAUGAUAAUUCAGGUAAUGUUGCAGAAAAAGUUAAAUCUCUUCAUGAUGACUUGGUACAGAUGAUGACACUGUAAGUUUCGCUACUUUGACAUUAUUCCUUUUGUUAAAUAUACUAAGUUCUUUUAUCUGAUAUGAUAGCUGUGUCAAAUAUAUUUCUCAGCAGUUGAAGAGCUCCUGAAUCAAGCGGAACAAGAUUACUAUAUUGGCUGAACUGUUUCAGGACAAAUAAUUCUUCAUGCGGUCUCAUGGUUUGCGGGCGAGCUGUUAAGGUGAUGAAUCUGAAGAUAGCAAAGAUAUUAUCGAGGAAGAUGAUGAUGACCAGAAUAAAGAGGAGGUGAUGGAAAAGAAGUUACCCAGAUUUAACAGAGCUCAGUUCAAAGUAACAUUAUAGGAAAAGAACGAUGGCGAUCAGACAAAGUCGAAUGGUUGUAAGUCGAAGGACAGAGGAACUGAAAAUGAUAGCCAUGGAGAUGGCAGCAGGAGGACUGAGGGACCAAUUGGGGCUGGUGGAAUUUGUAGAGAUCAUCUAGGUAAUUUGAUCAUGGCAUUCCAGCAAUCUCUGGGAACUGGUAGCAGCAAUCUGGCCGAGGCAAAGGCAGCUAUGAUAGGUCUUAAGUGGUGCAAGGAGUACGGUGUACCUUGGUUAUUACAAGAAGUUUUCAAUGAAAGUCGGAAGGUAAUCGAUGAAAGUAAUUGCAUCAUUCAACAUUGUUAUAGAGAAGGAAAUCAAGUGGUGGACGCAUUGGCAAAGGCAAGUUUGAUAAUACCAAACCAAGUUUCUAAUUCGGCGAAUGACUUGCCUAGCUAUGCUAAAGGUCCUUAAAGGCUUGACUGGAUAAUGAUGCCAUCUUUUAGACACAAGCACAAGAAACACCAGUUUGUUUAAAUCAGUUGUUUAGUUUCCAGGUUGCCCCUCCUUAUACCCCUGUAUCUUUUUGUAUAUGUUUACCGGAGGGAACUUGGUUUUUAAUGUUAUUCCUUCUUAUGUAUAGCUGCUUCAUUGGGACUAUGGAUUCAUGGAAAUCCUGCAAGUUUGUACAUAAUUUUUGGUAAUGAUAUAAAGGGCCACGCCACCAUAUGGCGUAGUUGCAUUUAAAUAAAUAAAAAACGGUUUAGUUAUUCGUUCAA